GUGGGGACACAGGCAGAGAGCGUGAGCCGGGAAUGGAAAGACCGGUACAAGCGAGGUAGGAGAAGAGUUGGCAAAUCCGCUCUUUAAUCUGAAGACGUGAUGUGGGCUGAAAAUAAGUAGGGAAGCACGUGAGCUGACUGUCAAGAAAAGCCGCUAUUGUUUGCAGGAUACCCGUACCGUAAACCGACACAGGUGGAUGAGGAGAGAAUCCUAAGGCCGACGGGAGAAGCAUUGUUAAGGAACUCGGCAAAAUGACUCCGUAACUUCGGGAGAGGGAGUGCCAGUAAGAUGGCCGCAGAGAAUUGGCCCAAGCAACUGUUUAGCAAAAACACAGGUCUAUGCAAAACCGAAAGGUGAGGUAUAUGGGCUGACGCCUGCCCGGUGCUGGAAGGUUAAGGGGAGAGGUUAGCGCAAGCGAAGCUUUGAACUUAAGCCCCAGUAAACGGCGGCCGUAACGAUAACGGUCCUAAGGUAGCGAAAUUCCUUGUCGGGUAAGUUCCGACCCGCACGAAAGGCGUAAUGAUUUGGGCACUGUCUCAACAAUGCACCCGGUGAAAUUGAAAUACCAGUGAAGAUGCUGGUUACCUGCGCCAGGACGGAAAGACCCCAUGGAGCUUUACUCCAGCUUGAUACUGGGAUUCGGUAUUGCAUGUACAGGAUAGGUGGGAGGCUAGGAAAUGGUAACGCCAGUUGCCAUGGAGCCAAUGUUGGGAUACCACCCUUGCAGUACUGGGUUUCUAACCAGCAGCCGUGAUCCGGCUGGGGGACAAUGUCAGGUGGGGAGUUUGACUGGGGCGGUCGCCUCCGAAAGGGUAUCGGAGGCGCUCAAAGGUUCCCUCAGAAUGGUUGGAAACCAUUCGAAGAGUGCAAAGGCAGAAGGGAGCUUGACUGCGACACCGACGGGUGGAGCAGGUACGAAAGUAGGACUUAGUGAUCCGGUGGUAUAAAGUGGGAUUGCCAUCGCUCAACGGAUAAAAGCUACCCUGGGAUAACAGGCUUAUCACUCCCAAGAGUUCACAUCGACGGAGUGGUUUGGCACCUCGAUGUCGGCUCAUCGCAUCCUGGGGCUGAAGUAGGUCCCAAGGGUCGGGCUGUUCGCCCAUUAAAGCGGUACGCGAGCUGGGUUCAGAACGUCGUGAGACAGUUCGGUCCCUAUCCGGCGUGGGCGUAAGAUAUUUGAGAGGAGCUGUCCUUAGUACGAGAGGACCGGGAUGGACUGGCCGCUGGUGUAUCUGUUGUCUUACCAAAGGCAUAGCAGAGUAGCCAAGCCGGGAAGGGAUAAACGCUGAAGGCAUCUAAGCGUGAAGCCCCCCUCAAGAUGAGAUAUCUCAUAACGUCAAGUUAGUAAGACCCCUUGAAGACGACGAGGUAGAUAGGACAGAGGUGGAAGUGUGGUAACACAUGGAGCUGACUGUUACUAAUAGGUCGAGGGCAUAACCG
rnacentral:rRNA from 1 species